rnacentral:rRNA from 1 species
CGCACGGUAAACGAUGGAUGCCCGCUGUUGACCCACCUGGGCCAGCGGCCAAGCGAAAGCAUUAAGCAUCCCACCUGGGGAGUACNGAUACGCGAGGAACCUUACCCGGGCUUGAAUUGCAGAGGAAAGAUCCAGAGAUGGUGAUGCCCUUCGGGGCCUCUGUGAAGGUGC